GAAGAAAAAGCAUCGGCUAACUCCGUGCCAGCAGCCGCGGUAAUACGGAGGAUGCAAGCGUUAUCCGGAAUCAUUGGGCGUAAAGGGUCCGCAGGUGGCGAAUAAAGUCUGCUGUUAAAGACCGGGGCUAAACUCCGGAAAGGCAGUGGAAACUGAUUAGCUAGAGUACGGUAGGGGUAGAGGGAAUUCCCAGUGUAGCGGUGAAAUGCGUAGAUAUUGGGAAGAACACCGGUGGCGAAAGCGCUCUACUAGGCCGAAACUGACACUGAGGGACGAAAGCUAGGGUAGCGAAAGGGAUUAGAUACCCCUGUAGUCUUAGCGGUAAACGAUGGAUACUAGGUGUAGCUUGUAUCGACCCGAGCUGUGCCGAAGCUAACGCGAUAAGUAUCCCGCCUGGGGAGUACGCACGCAAGUGUGAAACUCAAAGGAAUUGACGGGGGCCCGCACAAGCGGUGGAGUAUGUGGUUUAAUUCGAUGCAACGCGAAGAACCUUACCAGGGCUUGACAUGUCGCGAAUCUAGCGGAAACGUUAGAGUGCCUUAGGGAAUGCGAACACAGGUGGUGCAUGGCUGUCGUCAGCUCGUGUCGUGAGAUGUUGGGUUAAGUCCCGCAACGAGCGCAACCCUCGUCCUUAGUUGCCAAUAUUAAGUUAGGCACUCUAGGGAGACUGCCGGGGACAACUCGGAGGAAGGUGGGGAUGACGUCAAGUCAGCAUGCCCCUUACGUCCUGGGCGACACACGUACUACAAUGGUUGGGACAAAGGGCAGCAAACUCGCGAGAGUAAGCGAAUCUCAUCAAACCCAGCCACAGUUCAGAUUGCAGGCCGCAACUCGCCUGCAUGAAGUAGGAAUCGCUAGUAAUCGCAGGUCAGCAUACUGCGGUGAAUUCGUUCCCGGGCCUUGUACACACCGCCCGUCACACCAUGGAAGCUGGCUACGCCCGAAGUCGUUACCCUAACCCGGUUUUGGGAGGGGGAUGCCGAAGGUAGAGCUAGUGACUGGGGUGAAGUCGUAACAAGGUAGCCGUACCGGAAGGUGUGGCUGGAUCACCUCCUUUACAGGGAGACCUAGUCUAAUUACCAAUAGAUAAAAAAGUUGGUAAUUCGCAAGAAUCCUUAGGUCGUGAGGGGAGCAAGAAAAAACUUUCAAACUGUAAUGGGUGAGGGUCAAUGGGCUAUUAGCUCAGGUGGUUAGAGCGCACCCCUGAUAAGGGUGAGGUCCCUGGUUCAAGUCCAGGAUGGCCCACCUGAAAUACACAGGCAUCCUGCCUGUGCCACAAAAAAAGGAAAAAGUUUUGGCAUUGUCUCUUGUAAUCAAGAGCAAGAGAUAAUGCUGGAAUAGAUU
rnacentral:misc_RNA from 1 species